rnacentral:rRNA from 1 species
UACGUAGGGACCGAGCGUUGUCCGGAAUCAUUGGGCGUAAGAGCGUGUAGGCGGUCUGUUAAGUCUUGCGUGAAAUCUCGGGGCGUCAACCCCGACGCGGUCGUGAGAAACUAGGCGAGGCUAGAGUGCGGGAGAGGAGAGUGGAAUUCCUGGUGUAGCGGUGAAAUGCGCAGAUAUCAGGAAGAACACCCGUGGCGAAGGCGGCUCUCUGGAACGCAACUGACGCUGAGACGCGAAAGCGUGGGGAGCAAACAGG